UACUAAUAUACUUUCAAUGCUAUAAAUUGGACUCUAAACCUUCAUAUUCAUAUUACUUUCAAUCUUCCAAUCUACUUUCAAUCUUUCAAUCUUCCAAUCUACUUUCAAUCUUCCAACAAUCUUAAAAUUCUUGUUAUUCUUCAAAUUUUCUAAAGUUUUUAAAAGCAUUUUCUUUAUAAGAUAUGCAUCCGUCAAAUUUAUACGUACAUCCUGGUCCAGUAGAGCAUGAUGUAUUAAAAAUUCAAGUUCAUCAUCGUUCCAAAGGAAUUUGGAAUGGUAGCAUAAAAGAAGAGAGGUCUUGCUUAUAUACGCGUCGUGGUGAUAUUGAAUUUUGGCAACAUUUAAAAUAUCAUCCAUUACAUUCUCGCAUCCUUCAAUAUUUUGAAAAUUGUAGAUUUAAAGGAAUUCUUGAUGUUGGAUGUGAUCCGUCAUACUUUUCACAUGCGAACUGGCGAGGCUACCGUAACUUUACAAGAUAUUGAAAUUUUAUUCGGAAUGAUAGUAGAUGUUAGUCCUAUAAUUUUAAAUGGAGCUGAUUCUUUAGGGAUUAUAGGUAGACAAGAAAUGAUUUUUCAAUUCACAGGAUGGUUACCCGAUACUAGUUGUUUUUCUGGUGUUAGUAGAUUGUUAACAUAUAAAUUGAUUGAGUAUAUCGAAGGUUUGGAAGUUGUUAAUGAUAACUCAACUGAGCAUGAAGUUCAACAAAGAUUUAGAUUAUAUUUAUUAUGGUUAUGUGGUGCAUCAAUAUUUCCGGAUAAAUCUAAUAAUAAGAUUAAUUUGGACAUUUUGAUUGACAUGAGAAACUUAGAUUUAAUGUCAACUCAAGCAUGGGGAUCGGCCGCAUUAUCAUAUUUGUAUAAUUGUUUAUGUCGUGUGUCAAUGAAAAAAUCAAAUGAAGUUUGUGGAUUUCUCUCUUAAGUGCAGGUAUACAUAUUUUUUAAUUAAAUAUUUUAUAUAUACUAGUAAUAUGCACUUUUAAAUUUAAGUGCAUUAUAAGUAAUGGUGAAUUUAUUUAUUGUAGAUUUGGGCAUGGGAAAGAAUUAUUCCCGUGCAACCAUUACCAAAGCCUCUAAGAACCAAUCAACUUGAGGCUUCAACUGCGCUUGCACGUAAGUGGACGCGACGUAGAAAUUAUCAAAAUGAGGCACGAACUGUAAUAGGUGUGAUUAGGGAUGUACUAGAUAAUCUAACUGAUGAACAGUUUAUUUGGCAGCCUUAUUCGGAAGAUGUUAUUAAUGGAUUGCCUGAGUGGUGUCGGUCAGGACAACGUGUCUGGAUGGCACAGGUGCCACUGAUUUAUGGAAUUUAUCGUGAGUGGCACAUGGUUGAUCGUGUUGUGAGACAGUUCGGUUAUUUACAACA